AUGAACAUGGACCUUACCUAUUUCGGUCCCCUGAACACGAAUCUAGCCUCAGAUCUCACUAACUCCUCCUCAAUCAAUGGGAUCGAAGAUCCAGAAGUCACAAACCCUAAGUCUAUUAUGUUAUGGAUUCACGCGAAUUGGAGAAGUGAAUCAGGUUGGAGUUUGCAGCAAGAUUGCGAGAGGAUGAUGAUUCGUGGAAGAUUGUUGAAGAUUGAAAAAAGGACCAUGGCAAUUUGGAACUUGAAUGAAAACUGA